AGCAGCCGCGGUAAUUCCAGCUCCAAUAGCGUAUAUUAAAGUUGUUGCAGUUAAAAAGCUCGUAGUUGAAUUUCGGGGUCAGUAGAUUGGUCGUGCCACAGGUACGUACUGGUCUCACUGAUUCCUCCUUCCUGAUGAACCGUAAUGCCAUUAAUUUGGUGUUGCGGGGAAACUGGACUGUUACUUUGAAAAAAUUAGAGUGUUUAAAGCAGGCUAACGCUUGAAUACAUUAGCAUGGAAUAAUGAAAUAGGACGUUCGAUCCUAUUUUGUUGGUUUCUAGGAUUGACGUAAUGAUUAAUAGGGAUAGUUGGGGGCAUUAGUAUUCAAUUGUCAGAGGUGAAAUUCUUGGAUUUAUUGAAGACUAACUACUGCGAAAGCAUUUGCCAAGGAUGUUUUCAUUAAUCAAGAACGAAAGUUAGGGGAUCGAAGACGAUCAGAUACCGUCGUAGUCUUAACCAUAAACUAUGCCGACUAGGGAUCGGAUGAUGUUAAUUUUUAAUGACUCAUUCGGCGCCUUAC
rnacentral:rRNA from 1 species